rnacentral:rRNA from 1 species
AUUGAACGCUGGCGGCAGGCCUAACACAUGCAAGUCGAGCGGUAGAGAGGAGCUUGCUUCUCUUGAGAGCGGCGGACGGGUGAGUAAUGCCUAGGAAUCUGCCUAGUGGUGGGGGAUAACGUUCGGAAACGGACGCUAAUACCGCAUACGUCCUACGGGAGAAAGCGGGGGAUCUUCGGACCUCGCGCCAUUAGAUGAGCCUAGGUCGGAUUAGCUAGUUGGUGAGGUAAUGGCUCACCAAGGCGACGAUCCGUAACUGGUCUGAGAGGAUGAUCAGUCACACUGGAACUGAGACACGGUCCAGACUCCUACGGGAGGCAGCAGUGGGGAAUAUUGGACAAUGGGCGAAAGCCUGAUCCAGCCAUGCCGCGUGUGUGAAGAAGGUCUUCGGAUUGUAAAGCACUUUAAGUUGGGAGGAAGGGUAGUAACCUAAUACGUUGCUGCUUUGACGUUACCGACAGAAUAAGCACCGGCUAACUUCGUGCCAGCAGCCGCCGUAACAC